UACGUAGGUGGCAAGCGUUGUCCGGAUUUACUGGGCGUAAAGAGCGCGCAGGCGGUCAGAUAAGUCGAAUGUGAAAGCCCCCGGCUCAACUGGGGAGGGUCAUUCGAUACUGUUCGACUCGAAGGCAGGAGAGGGAAGCGGAAUUCCCGGUGUAGUGGUGAAAUGCGUAGAGAUCCGGAGGAACACCAGAGGCGAAGGCGGCCUGCUGGGCUGCACCUGACGCUGAACCGCGAAAGCCAGGGGAGCGAACGGG
rnacentral:rRNA from 1 species